rnacentral:rRNA from 1 species
AUACGGAGGAUCCGAGCGUUAUCCGGAUUUAUUGGGUUUAAAGGGAGCGUAGGCGGACGCUUAAGUCAGUUGUGAAAGUUUGCGGCUCAACCGUAAAAUUGCAGUUGAUACUGGGUGUCUUGAGUACAGUAGAGGCAGGCGGAAUUCGUGGUGUAGCGGUGAAAUGCUUAGAUAUCACGAAGAACUCCGAUUGCGAAGGCAGCCUGCUGGACCGUAACUGACGCUGAUGCUCGAAAGUGUGGGUAUCAAACAGGAUUAGAUACCCUGGUAGUCCACACAGUAAACGAUGAAUACUCGCUGUUUGCGAUAUACAGUAAGCGGCCAAGCGAAAGCGUUAAGUAAUCCACCUGGGGAGUACGUUCGCAAGAAUGAAACUCAAAGGAAUUGACGGGG